UCCUUGUUGCUGUUCUUUCUUUUCCUAGAAGGAAGCAGAACAGAGCAAGUAAACCCUCUUUAACCAGGGAAAACCUGAAAACAACUACAAUCAUCUAUCUUGGACCAUUUGUUUUCAAUGAU
rnacentral:lncRNA from 1 species